rnacentral:rRNA from 1 species
AUGCUCCCGAGGAAGAAAGCGCUGGCGCUGCUGCUCAAGAUCGACAUCGCAAAAGCCUUCGAUUUGGUUUCCUGGGAGUAUCUGUUGGAACCGUUGCAGUGCUUAAAUUUCCCGGCGCGCUGGAGAGACUGGAUUGCACUGCUCCUCUCCACUGCUUCCUCAGCCUGCACGCUCAACGGUGACCUCAGACAAGCCAUUGUCCACCAGCGCGGGCUGCGGCAAGGGGACCCGCUAUCGCCACUUCUCUUCAUCCUGGCGAUCGACCCCCUUCACCGGCUGCUGGAGGCGGCGCAGACGACCGGCAUCCUAACCCCGCUGCCUGCCAGAGAGGCACGUCUGCGGGUCACGUUGUACGUCAACGACGCCAUCCUCUUUGCCAACCCAGAGCGGCAGGAGGUCGACAUCAUCAUGCAAAUUCUGGAAGGGUUCGGGGACGCCACGGGACUGCACUGCAACCCUCAGAAAUCAUCAGUGGUGACGCUCAACUGCAACAACGUAGACCUAGUGGACGUCCUGAGAAAUUUCGGCGGCAAGAGGGUAGAUUUCCCAAUCAGAUAUCUAGGACUCCCCCUCUGCGCGGGAAAACUUCGGCUAGUCCACAUUCAGUACAUCCUCGACCGCGUUCGCGCACGACUGGCAGCAUGGAAGGGGCGGCUCAUGCCCAUCGCAGGGCGGCAUGUGCUUGUCCGGUGUGUGCUGACAGUGCUGCCCGCCUUUGCGAUGGCCGUCCUACGCAUCCCAAAGAAAUUCUUCAAAGACGUGGACAAGGCCCGACGGUGA